CCCACAACACCACACGUUCAUGAUGGUAGUGAGAAAAAUCCUCACUUUCUCUCUCUAAAUAACUCUCUUAUCUCUCUAGAUCUUUCGCCCAAAUUCACUACGUUGGCGGAGAACGAGCUUACGAACGCGUUGGGAGUGACGGAUCGAGCUUUCGUGCGCCCGUUGGAGCGGCGUGCUUCCGUUCUCGGCGUUCACAUUUUGGUAUUCUGACGCGUUGGCGAAGUCGGUUCGGCGAUACGACGAGGCUACGCGAAGAUAUCGGAGAAAAGGCCUGUUUUGGUACAAAUUGCCGCAGCUCGCGGCGAAAGUUUCCAAAAAUCACGAAAUCGGAACCCUAGUCUCUGGUAGCAUUAAAAGACCUAGUGGGAAGAUCGGCGGAGUCGGCGGCCAAACCCACUGAGAACUAUAUUUAUAUAGUUCUCACCCCACUUUGUUGCAGGGCCGUGUGCGAGCGUUUCGGGGGAGGAUCGCGGUAAUGGCGUAGCACCCUAGCUAGCUAGUAGAGUUUCCUAUUUGUACUAGAGCACCCUCGUGUGCAUAUUUAUAGACAUGAUGUAUUUUGGAUAGCUAGUAUUAUGGUUGUGAGAGGAUUAUGUAUUCAUUUUUGGGAGAUGGAAAUAUAAAUCAAAUCAAUGUUGAAUGUGAUGUAAUAGUUAGAUGUA